UACAGAGGUCUCAAGCGUUUGUUCGGAUUCAUUGGGCGUAAAGGGUGCGUAGGUGGCGCGGUAAGUCGGGUGUGAAAUCUCGGAGCUUAACUCCGAAAUUGCAUUCGAUACUGCCGUGCUUGAGGACUGGAGAGGAGACUGGAAUUCAUGGUGUAGCAGUGAAAUGCGUAGAGAUCAUGAGGAAGACCAGUGGCGAAGGCGGGUCUCUGGACAGUUCCUGACGCUGAGGCACGAAGGCCAGGGGAGCAAACGGG
rnacentral:rRNA from 1 species